GUAGUCCUGGCUGUAAACGAUGUCGACUUGGAGGUUGUGCCCUUGAGGCGUGGCUUCCGGAGCUAACGCGUUAAGUCGACCGCCUGGGGAGUACGGCCGCAAGGUUAAAACUCAAAUGAAUUGACGGGGGCCCGCACAAGCGGUGGAGCAUGUGGUUUAAUUCGAUGCAACGCGAAGAACCUUACCUGGUCUUGACAUCCACGGAAGUUUUCAGAGAUGAGAAUGUGCCUUCGGGAACCGUGAGACAGGUGCUGCAUGGCUGUCGUCGGCUCGUGUUGUGAAAUGUUGGGUUAAGUCCCGCAACGAGCGCAACCCUUAUCCUUUGUUGCCAGCGGUCCGGCCGGGAACUCAAAGGAGACUGCCAGUGAUAAACUGGAGGAAGGUGGGGAUGACGUCAAGUCAUCAUGGCCCUUACGACCAGGGCUACACACGUGCUACAAUGGCGCGUACAAAGAGAAGCGACCUCGCGAGAGCAAGCGGACCUCAUAAAGUGCGUCGUAGUCCGGAUUGGAGUCUGCAACUCGACUCCAUGAAGUCGGAAUCGCUAGUAAUCGUGGAUCAGAAUGCCACGGUGAAUACGUUCCCGGGCCUUGUACACACCGCCCGUCACACCAUGGGAGUGGGUUGCAAAAGAAGUAGGUAGCUUAACCUUCGGGAGGGCGCUUACCACUUUGUGAUUCAUGACUGGGGUGAAGUCGUAACAAGGUAACCGUAGGGGAACCUGCGGCUGGAUCACCUCC
rnacentral:rRNA from 1 species